GUGUCAGCAGCCGCGGUAAUACGUAGGCAGCGAGCGUUGUUCGGAGUUACUGGGCGUAAAGAGUAUGUAGGCGGUUGCGCAAGUUUGGUGUGAAAUCUCCCGGCUUAACUGGGAGGGUGCGCCGAAAACUGCGCGGCUAGAGUGCGGGAGAGGAGAGCGGAAUUCCUGGUGUAGCGGUGAAAUGCGUAGAUAUCAGGAGGAACACCGGCGGUGUAGACGGCUCUCUGGACCGCGACUGACGCUGAGAUACGAAAGCGUGGGGAGCAAACAGGAUUAGAUACCCCAGUAGUCC
rnacentral:rRNA from 1 species